UACAGAGGGUGCAAACGUUGUUCGGAAUUACUGGGCGUAAAGCGCGUGUAGGCGGCUCGGCUAGUCGGGUGUGAAAGCCCUGGGCUCAACCCAGGAAGUGCAUUCGAUACUGCCGAGCUUGAGUCCUGGAGAGGAAGGCGGAAUUCACGGUGUAGAGGUGAAAUUCGUAGAUAUCGUGAGGAACACCGGUGGCGAAGGCGGCCUUCUGGACAGUGACUGACGCUGAGACGCGAAAGCGUGGGGAGCAAACAGG
rnacentral:rRNA from 1 species